rnacentral:rRNA from 1 species
AGUGAACGCUGGCGGUAGGCCUAACACAUGCAAGUCGAACGGCAGCACAGUAAGAGCUUGCUCUUACGGGUGGCGAGUGGCGGACGGGUGAGGAAUACAUCGGAAUCUACUUUUUCGUGGGGGAUAACGUAGGGAAACUUACGCUAAUACCGCAUACGACCUACGGGUGAAAGCAGGGGAUCUUCGGACCUUGCGCGAUUGAAUGAGCCGAUGUCGGAUUAGCUAGUUGGCGGGGUAAAGGCCCACCAAGGCGACGAUCCGUAGCUUGUCUGAGAGGAUGAUCAGCCACACUGGAACUGAGACACGGUCCAGACUCCUACGGGAGGCAGCAGUGGGGAAUAUUGGACAAUGGGCGCAAGCCUGAUCCAGCCAUACCGCGUGGGUGAAGAAGGCCUUCGGGUUGUAAAGACCUUUUGUUGGGAAAGAAAAGCAGCAGGUUAAUACCCAGCUGUUCUGACGGUACCCAAAGAAUAAGCACCGGCUAACUUCGUG